rnacentral:rRNA from 1 species
AACGAACGCUGGCGGCAGGCCUAACACAUGCAAGUCGAACGCCGUAGCAAUACGGAGUGGCAGACGGGUGAGUAACACGUGGGAACCUUCCCGAUGGUACGGAAUAGCUCAGGGAAACUUGGGGUAAUACCGUAUACGCCCGCAAGGGGAAAGAUUUAUCGCCAUUGGAUGGGCCCGCGUCGGAUUAGCUAGUUGGUGAGGUAAAGGCUCACCAAGGCGACGAUCCGUAGCUGGUCUGAGAGGACGAUCAGCCACAUUGGGACUGAGACACGGCCCAAACUCCUACGGGAGGCAGCAGUGGGGAAUAUUGGACAAUGGGCGCAAGCCUGAUCCAGCCAUGCCGCGUGAGGGAUGACGGCCUUCGGGUUGUAAACCUCUUUCAGCAGGGAAGAAGCGAAAGUGACGGUACCUGCAGAAGAAGCACCGGCUAACUACGUGCCAGCCGCCGCCGUAAAAC